ACUCCUACGGGAGGCAGCAGUGGGGAAUCUUGGACAAUGGGCGCAAGCCUGAUCCAGCCAUGCCGCGUGAGUGAUGAAGGCCCUAGGGUCGUAAAGCUCUUUCGCCAGGGAUGAUAAUGACAGUACCUGGUAAAGAAACCCCGGCUAACUCCGUGCCAGCAGCCGCGGUAAUACGGAGGGGGUUAGCGUUGUUCGGAAUUACUGGGGCGUAAAGCGCGCGUAGGCGGACUGGAAAGUUGGGGGUGAAAUCCCGGGGGCUCAACCCCGGAACUGCCUCCAAAACUCCCAGUCUUGAGUUCGAGAGAGGUGAGUGGAAUUCCGAGUGUAGAGGUGAAAUUCGUAGAUAUUCGGAGGAACACCAGUGGCGAAGGCGGCUCACUGGCUCGAUACUGACGCUGAGGUGCGAAAGUGUGGGGAGCAAACAGGAUUAGAUACCCUGGUAGGAUAGCG
rnacentral:rRNA from 1 species